GCCGGUGUGGUGAAAUUGGUAGACACAGGGGAUUCAAAAUCCCCCGCCUUUAAAAGCGUGGCGGUUCGAGUCCGCCCACCGGUACCA
rnacentral:tRNA from 1 species